ensembl:lncRNA
GUUUGAAGGAUCCAAUAGAAAGUAAUUCCUAGAAAUUAAGACCCCACCCCAAAUUUAUCUAGGGGAAGUUCUGUCCUGUGAGCACAUGGCUGCUGUUGCUACAUGAGAUUCGGGGAAGAGGAUGGCUGUCUGCUGUUCUGCUGUCAUCCUACCUCACUUGAAGAUCUUGUAAUCAAUAAUACUAUGAACAGCAGUGCAUAGGCUAUGGAGAUCCUUUUGAUUCAUAUAGGGAUUUUCCAUAAGUCUAAGAAGAUUAAAAUGGUGAACGAGAAUUACUUUGGUAAGGCACUGGUGUGAGAGAAAUGAAAAUGAGUAGAACCUGGUCCUUCCUCACAGAAAUUACAGUGCUGAAGCAAGUAUGAAGGAGAUGCACGAUCAAGCCACAGCUGGGUUUAAGAGGAUCCAAAUCAAGACUUCAGAGAGCAACCAUUCAUCAUCUUGUGACAGCUGCUUCUUCACUUUUGAUUGUACCUUCUAGACUCUGGUGCUGUGGGGCCUUUCUGCACUUGAGUGACAUGACUAAGAUACCAGAGGAGCUGUGCAGACAGUUCAAUCAGGAAAAGAGGGGAAGCCAAUCCUGUAGUAGCCCAGAAACUGGACCCCUUCCAAAUGCAGAAUACCAUGCUUGCUGAUCCAUAAUCUCUUGGCAUGUUCAAGAACUACAGUGGAGGGUGGGGCAAGGGCAGGAGAGUGAUUAUUAAGAUUAGGUAGGUGAGCUGAGAAAUUCUUUUUGCUUACCUAAUAUCCUUCUCCUACCUCAAGUGAGCACACUGUAGUUCACAAGCUAAAUCUAGCCUAUAGGCUGUUUUUAUAGUUGUGUCAGAACAUAGCCUCAAUGUGUAUCCCUUAUGGCUGCUUUCAUGUAACACCGGCAGGACCAAGCAGUUGCAACACUUUUUGGCAUAUGUACCAUCUGGAAUUUUACAGAACAGUUUUGCUGACCCAUCCCUUAUAUUUAACAGAACGUCAUGAUUAUGGCAGCCAUGUACCAGUUUUUAAAAAAUCACUUUCUUGAAGCUGGGGGCUAGCCACCGGAUCCAGUUACGUCUUAUGAAAUACAAGAGCAAGUAAGUUGGGUGAGGUUUUCAGGAAAAUGAUUGUUUUCCUCCUAAAACUGGCAUGACCAUGGCACUUUUUCUUUCCUCCUCUGUGCAUGGCUGUGGUAACACUUGUGUAGUGUUCCCACUGAUGUUCACACUGAUGUGCACUUCCCAUUGAUGUAGCAUGAUAGCUCCCUCAUGACUAUGAAGAAUAAAAGUUAUAUUUUAAGGAUAUAAGUGGGAAUGUGGAUUUUCAAUGGCUUUCUUGAGUGGUUGCUUUCAUCUUGGACUGGUUAGUCCUGAACAGAUUAUAGUCCACACAUUGAGCCACCUAACUGGAUUUGUAUAACUCGCAAGCAAAUCGAAUCCUAAGAAGGGAAUUGUGAAGACACAUGAGCUUGGCAUAGAAGUCAAGAAGGAAUUGCAGUCCCUGCUGGCUCCUUCAGAUUCCCCACCAGCACUCAUGGAGGGCAAAGGAAUCCCACCCACACCCUGGGAAGAGUGGCAGGGCCUGUCGAUUCUAAUGGGUACCCACAUACACAGGAGUCUAUGGACUCCUGCCUGAGAGUGAAGAGCCUAGAGCUUCUCUGCUAGUAACUCCCAUCUCCUGCAGACUCCACAGUCAGUGUGUGGAGGCAAUUGUAGGCCCCAGAGGACCCCCACAAGAACAUGAGCUCACUUCUGACUCAGAGGUCCCUCACUUGCCAGUGAACCUGGCUGCCAAUUCCUUCAUUGUGCUUGGGGGUUGGAAGGGAGUACUUCCUAACCCAAGAAAUGGGACAGCAUCAGACUCUGCCUGCAAGUUGGAAGAAUGAAGUCCUGAGAUUGGGUUAGCCUCAGUCUUGGAGUGGAAGAGUCAGAGGUGAUAUUGAUGUGUCUGCAUGGCAAUACACUGCCAUCAGCACAAGAAGGGAAUGAUGUGAACACCCAGGCUUUCUGGCAAAGUGGUCAUGUGUGAAGCACAUAUUCACUCUCUUGUUGGAGUAUUUGAAUUGAGCUCCUGUCAGAUAUUUCCUCUGACUUUUUCUUCUAUUUGCUUUGAUCUAGUUGGUAUCUAUGUUCUAUCCCUCUUCUCAUCUCCCUCACUAGUUUCUUUUCCUCAGUCUCCCAUAGCAAUAUCAUUAUUUUAUUUCUUAUUUCUUUUUCCCACUUUUUUUUUUUUGUUGUUGUUACCAGGGAUUGAACUCAG